rnacentral:rRNA from 1 species
GACGAACGCUGGCGGCGGGCUUAAUACAUGCAAGUCGAACGGAAAGGCCCUGCUUUCGUUGCGUGCUCGAGUGGCCAACGGGUGAGUAACACACGAGUAACCUGCUCUUGAUUUAGUGAUAACUUCAGGAAACUGGGGCUAAUACCGGCUAGGAGCUCCUGCUGCAUGGUGGGGGUUGGUAAUUUUCGGUGGUUGGGGAUGGACUCGCGGUUUAUCAGCUUGUUGGUUGGGUAGUGGCUUACGAAGGCGUUGACGAGUAGCAGGCCUGAGAGGGUGACCGGCCACCUUGGGACUGUGAUACGGCACAGAGUACUACGGGAGGCAGCAGUGGGGAAUAUUGCACAAUGGGCGGAAGCCUGAUGCAGCAACGCCGCGUGCGGGAUGACGGACUUCGGGUUGUAGACAGCUUUCGCCUGUGACGAAGCGUGAGUGACGGUAAUGGGUAAAGAAGCACCGGCUAACUACGUG